AUUGAACGCUGGCGGCAUGCCUUACACAUGCAAGUCGAACGGCAGCACGGGUGCUUGCACCUGGUGGCGAGUGGCGAACGGGUGAGUAAUACAUCGGAACGUACCUUAUCGUGGGGGGUAACGCAGCGAAAGUUGCGCUAAUACCGCAUAAGCCCUGAGGGGGAAAGCGGGGGACCGUAGGGCCUCGCGCGAUUAGAGAGGCCGAUGUCUGAUUAGCUUGUUGGUGAGGUAAAAGCUCACCAAGGCGAUGAUCAGUAGCUGGUCUGAGAGGACGAUCAGCCACACUGGGACUGAGACACGGCCCAGACUCCUACGGGAGGCAGCAGUGGGGAAUUUUGGACAAUGGGGGCAACCCUGAUCCAGCAAUGCCGCGUGAGUGAAGAAGGCCUUCGGGUUGUAAAGCUCUUUUGUCAGGGAAGAAACAGCAGCUCUAACACAGUCUGCGAAUGACGGUACCUGAAGAAUAAGCACCGGCUAACUACGUGCCAGCAGCCGCAGUAA
rnacentral:rRNA from 1 species